rnacentral:lncRNA from 1 species
AUGGGGCAAGAGAUUUCAUUGGCACAAAUUAGCCUUGGGCUGUACAAAGUGCUUGGCUAAAUGUUCUAGCUCAAAACCUGCCAAUUACACAGACAUUAUUUGAACAGCUACCGUAUGCUCUGUUCGUCACAGUAAUAAAUAAGAGAUCAGGUGCUUUGCUUCAUAUAAAUUAAAAGGCUCGUGAAAAUUUAGUCUAGAAGAAAAGAGUAUUUAUUCCAAUUUUUAAGUUUUAAACCAUGCUGGCUUUCACUCUUCCCAUUCACAAGGUUCUGGUUUAUUUUCUGAGGGAGGGAAGGAAUUAAUGAAUGAAAAAAGGAAUGAAUAAAGCUAUUUAAGUUUACCAAAGACUUUACCAAUGUAGAAAUUGUUUGAUCAUUCAACAAAUUGUUUUCUUAGGUUCCCUAUCAGGCCCCAAGCCUGGGGAUGCCAUGAUGGAAACACCAGUGUUCCUUCUUUCUGAAGGAAACAGAAAGAAAUUCACCUCUAAAAUAGAUUGCAACCCAUAACUGUCAGCGUAGGGGAUAAAUGCGCUCAGUUGCAGUAAAGACGUCACACAUUGGCUUCAGGGUUGGUUUUACCCAGCACCAUCAAGCACCUCCUUGAGAGAUGUUAUCCCACACUUAGCCGUUUAAUUGGGAAUUAAGCUAUCACCCUCCCCACCUCUCCCACAAAGACUUUCUGGGGCUUCUAAGUCAUAGAGGAUGAGUAACGAUCAUACCAGCAUGGCCUCAUACUGAAUCACUUCACCUUUUCUUAGAAAGGCUGCAUCCAUGAGAUAUCCCACAAUUAAGUGAGGAAGGACUAACCAGUCUUCUCGCCAGUAUGUGAGGAAGGGAGAGCCCAUCUCCUAUACUCCCCGCUGGCCUUUUACCCGACUUUUAGCAUGGUGCACCCAAAUUAUGUUUACUUCCACCACCUCCUCCUUCCUUCAAGGACUGACACUGGGGAUUAGUCAUCGCUUGUUCUUUCUGCUGGAAACCUGUGUCCUUGAAUAAUGGCUUCCUGCUUGCCAAGUAACUUCAACAUCCCAGGGCCUAGGAUAAGGACUGACAACUUUCAUGCUACUCAGGAAAUGUGGGAGCCAAACACCUGGCACGAUGCUGUGCGGGGGCUAUUCGGGGCUUGCUUUUAGGCAGGGAGAUGUUUCUAAUAAAGCUUUCUGACCUUGUUGAAGCUGCCCAUAAAUAAAGUCCAAAGCUGAAGAGGCAGAUAGCCAAAUGGCCAGCAGAAUGUGCAGUAAGGCAGAGCGCCAAGAGAUCAGCAUCUAGCCCCACAGAUACUACCCUUCUUUCUCAGAGAGCCACAGCUAUUGUGGAGCCCCAGCUCAUGCCAACCCUGCUCCAGAACCUCUCAUCUCCCCUGCCUUUGCUCACCUCCUGCACCCCAUGAGAAGCUAAGAAUAACCGAGAGUUCAUGUCACUCAGUUGGCUGGGUGAGGGUUAGUGCCAAUCCAGAAGGCCAGAGAGGAGUAGGCACUAAGUAGCACAAUGUUCUAGAAAACGCCAAGAACACUUCCCUCCAUGUUCCACACAGCCAAGGUCUCCAAACCAGGCAAGACAGCAGUGACAUGGCAAGAUGGACAAGGACCCUGCAGUGCACUAAAGAUAGUCUCUGUGUGUGGUAACAUGUCUAACACUUGUCUUGCUUUUCAUAGGUUUGUGUGUGUUCUAGUGUUUCCAUGAGGGACCAAGGCGCUUGUGAUCUGAAUGUGCCGUCUCUGCCUUGGGCAAAGCUCUUGCAAACUCCUGGUUCAUGGCCAAAUCUCCAGGACUUUAAACUAGUUAUGUUAUUUACUGACCUUUUACAAAGAGAUUUUCCU